rnacentral:rRNA from 1 species
UACGAAGGGUGCGAGCGUUGUUCGGAAUUACUGGGCGUAAAGGGUUCGUAGGCGGGAACUUAAGUCAAGUGUGAAAUCCCUAGGCUCAACCUAGGACGUGCACCUGAAACUGGGUUUCUUGAGUACUUGAGAGGGUGGUGGAAUUGCUGGUGUAGGAGUGACAUCCGUAGAGAUCAGCAGGAACACCGGAGGCGAAGGCGGUUCUCUGGGCCUGACCUGACGCUGAGGAGCGAAAGCGUGGGGAGCGAACAGG